UGUGGGCGGCGGGGGCCGUGGGGCAGGAGGGAGCACUUCCUGAGGAGAAAGUGUGUCCUCGGGGAGACGGAGUGGGAAUGCACAGUGGUGUGAGGGAAAUCAAGGAAAUGCGUUGGGGGGGGGUUUAAAGCCGUGCCACGGAGAUGUGGUGGGAGAGAGCCGGGGUCACGCAUCGCUUUGCUCUCCUCACGCGCCCUGCUCUUCUGAAGUACAGCCCCACUUCUCCCAUCCUUUGGUACCCACUCACCUUUACUAACACACAACUGACCCAAACCCACCCACGCAUCCGCCCAAAGGCUCUCACUGUGCCGUGCCCAGCGCUCCCAACCGCUCUCCGGCCAGGCCCCGCUGUGCCAAACCACCAGACAACACCUGGGGCGGGAAGUUGUCCGCAGCACAGACCGCCGGCAUCUGUUUAUCAUUGUGAGAGCCGCGGCAAAGCGUCCUCUGGAUCCUGAGCUGCAAGAGCAAAGGAAACGGUUGGGGAGGUGAAAUUGUUUUGGGGGGGAUUAGGAGAGCAUUAAUGAGCGACUGGAACAAAUUAGUGAUGGAGCGGUGGAGACAACAGGAAGGAGUGGAAUGCCAAGGAGUCCUGCAUGCUGGUGGCUGCACGCAGACCAUUCCCCACCAUCAGCUCCAGUGGGGUGGGAUUUGUGCUUUUGCAACUCGCUGCAGUAAAUCACCAGAUUAAAGCGAGCUGCAGCAAGGGCCACUGUAUGCCAAAGUUGUCUGCCCCAGGCUUUUGCCCCGCAAUGUUUUUCAUACAGGUCAGCGGGAUGGAGUGGUGGAGGUGGGUCUGGUGGAUGGUGCCAGCAUCAGCCCAGGCCUCCACACCACCAUAGGUCCUGCUUGUGUUCAGGUCACACCACCUACAGUGGGGGAAGAGCUGUCCACAGAGCUCUGGUGGGAGUAGGAAGGAAGCGGGCAACAGGAGAGAAUGAGCAUUAAGGGAGAGGUGGGAAGGGUGAGGGAGGCCGACACAGGAAGAGAAGGAGCUGUAAAUGGCCAUGGGGGAGAAGAGAAAAAGGAAGCAAAGCGCAAGAACAAGGCACAGUGAACGUGGGUGAUGAAAAAGGGAAAGGACUGUGGAGAGAGAAUCUGAGAAUGGCAUGUAAAUGAAGAGCCAACCAAAGGGAUGCGUUUUGCCCUCAUUCAUACCGAAUAAUACUUACAUGUCUUGUAGCAUGGAGUUCACAUGAAGGCUAGCCAUGUGACUGAUUGUAUUCAGUGUGAAUACAGGGAGCAGAAAAUGGCACAAAGAAAGAAAGGCAGAGAAAGAAUCAGGGCAGAGAACAAAGAAGGACCUGGGUUGUGGGUAAAAUACAAAAAAAUAACGGUAGUCUAAGGGAGGAAAAUAGUGAACAUGGACACACUUGAGCAAAUGCAUGCAAGAUAGAUAACACUUAUUUUGGUUCAGAUGACCACAGUCCUGAGUACAAUUUUCAUCGAAACGUUUGCUUACCCACGUGGAACAGCCAUUGUCAUCCCAUCAGAGACGUUGGCUAUCUCCUGUCCAAGGCUUCGUACUGUCACCCAUCUGCCCUGGUUUCAGCACAGCUUUCACACAAAGCUGGUAACAACAGUGAAGUGGUUCCUGGCUCUUCUCUGUGUCUUCCUUUUUUCCCUUUUUAUUUAUUUUCUGCAAAAUCUCCUCUCUCAUUUGCCUCAGUAGUUUUGAUUGAUUUGUUUGUGGUUUGGAGGGUGGGGGGUUAUUUUGAGAAGAUGGCUAUGUCAGUGGUGUGUCGCUGUUGCAGGGUGAAAAGUUUUUGUGUGGAAAAGAACUACAUUGUGGAGUUUCCCGAAAAUAAGAUGAGAUUGCUCCGGUGUCCUUUGGGGCUGCAGACACCUUGGAUAUUCCUAGAUAAAAUCGUGGUUUGGUGGACAAAUUGGAGCAGGGUGAACUUCUAGAGGGCAGCAAUGAACGUCCAGAAUUGAGCAGGGAAUGCUGUCAGGGUGUAGUAUCCUUUGGAACCACGCAAACAAAGCACUAUCGCGUGGAUACAAGAUUUUGCCAAGUGAACAGAUAUGUGACCGAGGCAGCUUUGAAGCUGUUCCCAAGAAUCCUUCUUGCUUCUGUGGGAUGUCUUAUCUUUCUGUGGAGUUUCUGACUAUGAACCUCGUUAUGCAGUCUUUCAUUCUUGUGCCAUACAGUUGGGUAAGAAAUGCUCAGGUCUCCUGCCAGCAAGGACUCUCCCUGUAUCCAUGAUGCCAUUUACAGGUGUUUCAGCCUUUCCUCUAGAAGAAGUCUUCACUGCCACAGAGAGUUAAUCCUGCUCUGCAGUGUUUAGUUGCUGGAAUUAUUUCAUGUUAAAGGACACUUGUCCUGGGAGACACUGAGCAGCUCACUGAAGGAAGCUGGGGGCAUCUUGCAGCACAGAGCCACAGGAUGGGGAGAGGCACUGCUGUAUGCUGAAAACAGCUGGAAGAAUUUGCUGGCUGCUGCAAUUGCUCCUGUAACACAGGCUGUAGCUGCUUGCUCACUCUCAUUCUCCCAUGAAACCUAAGUUAUGGCCCUGCCUCCUCCUUGCUCUUUUUUUUUUUUUUUUUUUUUUUUUUUUCCAGAGAACUGCAGUUUCUUUCUGUCUUUGGAGGGGAAUCAAGAAUUCCUUGCAGCCUCCUGCUACACGGUUCACCCAUGAAAGGGCCGGGUACAAUCUGAGUGCAUUUAGCUUAGAAAUAAAACUUGGCAAAAAUAAAGCUGUCAUUGGUUUAUUGCUCACAGUGACAAUGAUAUGGUUGCUCACAGGUGUAAAUAAGUGCUUUACUUUCCAGUUUGUGUGCAAGUGCAAUUCAGAGUCUCAGAAAUUACCUGUAAAGGGCUCUGUGACAAUACGGUCUGAGUUCAUACAGUAGAAAAACGCAUGUUUUGUAAGUACUGUUUCCCUCCAUAUUAGCUCUUUCUCUUGGGUUCUCUGGUGUCUUAUGUGGUUUCAGAUCUCCCUGAUGUUAUUUCCACAGGAGGGGCUUUCCCAGUAUCUCCUUCUCGCUCUCACACGCAGAGGCUCUCAGGUGAUGUGUUGUCUGAUGUUGGUGAAGGCUUGAACUCUCAAUGCCUGUCACGUAGAGCAGCUCAGAUACGGUCCCUCUCCUCAGCAACGUAUUUUUGCUUAAAUAACUGAAUUACUACUUUUGUUGUCUGCUAAAUUUGAUUGUUAUUUAGUAAUGUCUUAAACUGAUGACUGUUUUACAUGUAAGCACACGCAGCGUGUGGGAUUGCCCUCAUUUCUUUCAGCGGCGUGGCUGAAACUGGUUGUUUUAAUCUAUCAGACUGAAACUGCAUAUUAUCAAACAAACUGGUCUGUAAAGAAAUAGUGUGUAGCCUCAGUUACUAAUCAUUUGAAGGAAUGCUGAAGGUCACCAUUGAUGGUUCAGUGAUGUGUCUCAUUAGCAAUAUGAGCUUAUGUGCUGUCUGGGCCCCAAACUAGAAGAAAACAGCAUGAAAUCUGGGAGAUGCCGGUCCUUCAUUUGGGUAAAUGUAAGGCUAAUUUGGGUCUGGGCCCUACACAGAGCUCCACUUGGGCAGAUCUAUUUCUGUGUGAUGUGGGUGCAAGGAUUUGUAAGGACUUUACUGCUACGGUGCCUUGGCUCCCACUUCUAGCAUUUAGUGCUAUGUUUACAAAAAAAAAAAAGCACAUGAACCCAACAAACAACAACAGCAACAAAGCCAGAAAUGGCAUUACAGGAAUCAAAACUGCUUUUAUUUUGAGGGUCACUACACUGAGUAGAAUGUUACAAAAAAAGGAUGAACCCAGUAUGGCAUUGCUGAAAAUUCCGGAGUUAGUUUGACACAUGCAAACUGCUGUUGGCUUCAACAGGCUUAUUUAACAUGUUUGUUUCUUUGGGCUUCAGGACGAGUCAAAAUGCAAUGUUGUUAGCCCGUAUCAGUGAGGCUGCAUAUUACAGGCUGUAAGCUGGGAGUUGCAGAAGUGUAUUGACAAAAAAGAGUUUGGCUUUAGCCAGCAAUUAAUCAUGACUAGGACAAGUAACCUCUCCAGAACUCUCUGGUUUUUGUAUUUAUUAAUCUCUGUUCAUAAAAAAAUAUUCCAAAGCAAGCAGUAGCACUCAACGUGGAGAUCUGGGGAAAUAAAUGGCCAAAGCUAUCACACUGUGACAUCUUUGGCAAACCUUUACGCAGUUUUAUAAACAAAUACAGGUGAUGUUCUAUUCUUGGAAUAGCUCUUUUCAUUAGAUGCUCAGUCUUGAAUAAAAUGGUUCAUUCCAUUUUUCCAUGUUUUUAUUGGGCAUCUAAUAGUGAAUCCAGCGUCAUCACGGUGGUGUACCGUAUCAGCCAUGCGCAUCAAUACAUUCAAGUUUUUUGGAAUGUUUCUGCUUUUUUUUUAAUGUGUAUAGCUCAAGAAAGACGGAAAUCACUUCAAACUGCGUUAUGGGCUUAAAAUUUGAAGGAGCUAAUUUUUCUGGAUCUCAAAAAUCAUAGGAAAUGAAGUCAUUGUCUACAGUCUUUCUCUUCUUUUUAAGAAGUACAAAAUGGGCAAGAGGACUACAACAGCUGAGUGUUAUUUUGUUUGCUUUCCACACCAACAUUUGAGCAUUUUCUUCUUUUACUUUUUAUGAAAUAUGCAUGUUCAGUUAGGAAUAGAUAUGCUGAAAACAGCUAAAAUUUCACCCUGUUUUGGACCCAGGGCCCAAGAAGAGGCUGCUGAUGAUUGAAAACGCUGGCACAUACCAAAUCAAGGUUACAUCAGUCCUGACUGAUUGUUUAACAGCUGCCCAAUAAUGUUGUUAAAAGUAAGAAAGAAAACCACACAUUAUUCAUACAUUUGUACCUAUGUAUGUUUCGUUUCUCUUCACCUUCCAAGAGAUCAUAAAUUCAGAAAUGAACAACAGUGUUUGGGGAAGAUAAUCCACAGAACAUCCCCAGAAACCCAGCAAAAUAACAAGAAGAAUUGAUCAAAAAUGCUCACUAGUGUAUGGAAUCAAGAAAAAAAAUGUUGUUUAACUCUUGUGUACUCAUUAAACCAAAAGCACAUGAAGCUUUUUUAAUUUGCCAGUUUCAGGUAAAAUGCACUGUAAAGCUCACUUUGUUGAUAUUUUUUGCUUUUCAUAGGUAAUUGAGAGAUAUGAAGAACAAUGAGAAACUCAUGCCCUGUUAGAACUGCUCUUUACAAGCACAAUUACACCAGAGGAACAAAAUUACAACCUAUUCAUUCAGGUCUCUGUAGGUACAGAAGGGUAAAGGAGGUUUAUAAUGGGGUAUGGACAAUGUCAGAGCACUGAGGAUGCACUAGCUUGGAAGGGGAAACCAUUUAACUCUAAAUAUCUUCUGAGAUAAAAGUACAGAGGGAUUGUGAGGAUAACAUGCACUUUAGGUUCAUCUUCAACUGAACAUUUUGAAUGGGUAAACAGGUAAAAGGCAACUAUGCUCUGUAAUAUUAACACAUGAAAAUUGUUUUGGGGGUUUGUUUUGGUUUUAUGCAGGAGAUUGUUUUGUGAGACAGAGCCUUUUAUAGAAAGACUAUUUUUGUUUUCUUUGGCAUUUCCAUUUAUAAAAACUACUCAUGUUUACACACACAGACACACACACACGCGCACACACACACACACACACACACACACACACAAUAUUGUUCAUUAUAUAUUGUUCAUCUGGUAAGGAAGAAAUAAAAAAAGAAAUUGAUACCAGGCUGCAUAUGUGUUCAAAAGCUUAGUGAAUUCUUCAAGCACUGCUGUGGAUCAUAUUUCAUUAAACUGCAAUAAAAAAAUCCUUUUUUACCUUGUCUUUGUGUGUUCUGAGGU